rnacentral:rRNA from 1 species
CCUACGGGUGGCAGCAGUGGGGGAUAUUGCACAAUGGGGGAAACCCUGAUGCAGCGACGCCGCGUGGGCGACGAAGUAUUUCGGUAUGUAAAGCCCUAUCAGCCGGGAAGAAGAAAUGACGGUACUUGCGUGAGAAGCAUCGGCUAAAUACGUGCCAGCAGCCGCGGUAAUCCGUAUGGCGCAAGCGUUAUGCGGAUUUACUGGGUGUAAAGGGAGCGCAGGCGGCACGGCAAGCGGGACGGGAAAGUCCGCGGCCCAACCGCGGGACUGCAUUGGAAACUGCCGGGCUGGAGUGCCGGAGAGGUAGGCGGAAUUCCUGGUGUAGCGGUGAAAUGCGUAGAUAUUAGGAAGAACACCAGUUGCGAAGGCGGCCUACUGGACGGUGACUGACGCUGAGGCACGAAAGCGUGGGGAGCAAACAGGAUUAGAUACCCUUGUAGUC